rnacentral:tRNA from 1 species
UGGGCGGUUCGUCUAAGGGUUAGGAUCUCAGACCCUCAUUCUGAAGAUAGGGGUUCGAAUCCCCUACCGCCUAU